UUCUUCUUUUUUUCCCCCCAUUUUCAGAUGGCUUAAAAUAUGAUGAUGUCAUGUUCAGUGCUCAGUAUCUCUAGAACAACAAGUAUGUAGCAAACAUGGAGCAGGUUUCUACCUACUGUAGCCAGGUGUAUUUUCUGUAGCAUUCGUUUUACGUUCGAGGUGCCCUGGGCUGUGUAACCAGAAUUGAGAUACAGCGAGUGAUGGGUGAAGGAGAUGCAUGAGAGAACUUUUUCCGUUCAUUUAGAAGCCAGCUCCAUAAAAUAGGCACUUAAUGAGGCAUAGCCUUCAGCCUGAUGAUAACGCAUCACUAAGAGUGAUCUCACCCUUUCAACUCUGGGGCAGGUCUGUUAUCGCUGUUUCCAUCCACCUUCCAUCAAUCUUGUCAGGCAUCACGGUUUCUCAUCAGUACUUUGUAUAUUAUAUAUAUAUAUAUGUCAUUGUAUCAUGCAGGUUUCCAUGGAAUCCAUGUUAAACAGCAUUUUAAAGCCUUUUUGAAUAUAUUCUGGACAAGUUGUUAGCUCUGAUCUGUCAGAAGGCCAUGUCCCAAUCUGUCACAACAACAUGUGACAGGAAGUCCCAAAACACUCGAAGGAGUCACCCCCCCCUCUCCCCUCCCAUCUCCAGUCGUUGCUAGCCACUUUGUUCCUAAGUAUUGACAUUGUCAAGAGACCCAAAACACUCGAAGGAGUCCCCCCCCCUCCCAUCUCCAGUCGUUGCUAGCCACUUUGUUCCUAAGUAUUGACAUUGUCAGGAGACCCAAAAGGGAUCGUAUUUGCAGUUACACAUCUCCUCCAGUUCGUUUUGUAACUAUACAAAUGUCACUAACUUAUUCCCGCCCUCCAUGUGUGUUUGUCUGUUUUAUCCUGGAAGACGAAAGCAGGGGGGGAAAAAUGGACGAGAGAACUGCGGCAAUUACAAGCGUGUGCCAAAUGGCUGACAACAAUUUCCACCAAUGAGCUGUUAACGCAUGCGUGUCUGCAUCGGAGAGGUUCGUAGUUCAGCCUCUCUACCACUUUCCUCCCCACUGGCAGAUGUUCUACCUUCCUCAGGGUCAGUGAUCACGACGAGCCAUCCAGCCUCAGAAAACGGUCACAAAUCGUGUCGUCUUUGGGACGCCUCACCUUCAAAACGGACACUGAAAAGAGCACUUUGGAAAGGUACUUCCUGUAGGCCACCACACCUCUUGGCAACUCACCUGGAGUCCAGUGAACGUCCAUCUGGCUCAUGUCGAGGCCUGGAUAACAGUGUCCAGCCAUCAACGACAAGGGAGGGGAGUUUGACCAUUGGGGAGCCACGUUUAUGAGUGUAAUUUAUGGAGUGGUGGCGUUGUGAGACCUUAAUAGUCAUUCCUCUGAUAGGACAGUACUUCCUCUUAGAGAGCAGCAGUUCAGUGUCUGGACACACUCAAUGAGGAAAGCAGAGACAUGACAUCAUCUGUACAGGAAAUGGUGUAGGACCCUGCUCUGUUGUCCUUCUGGGGAGCUUCUUUUGGAAUGGAGGAGGAGUAUUCGGUCAUUCUCUUCAACGUCUCUUUGGGUUGUUUAUCGGUCAGUUGUUGUUGCAACAGACUCAUGCUAACAAGAACGAUGUAAUGUUAUGGUUGAACACAAUCCAAUAGAAGCAGGGAAUAGUCUAUAAUCUCUGUCUUCCGACCAGGACACCCAUCUGUCCUGAUGUGUUUCAACCGAUGUGUAUAAACCUGAGAUUGCUGAUGCUAUGUAUUGGCCAGUGAAAGGUUUUGAAGACACCGGUCGGCCAUAUUGACCCAUCAGAAGGAGCAAUCCUCAAUAGGAAUGAAUGGGAUCUGAAGUAUUUCAAUAAAAUGUCAAAAUGA